CAGUCGCCACGGGAAUACGGAGGGUGCAAGCGUUAAUCGGAAUUACUGGGCGUAAAGCGCACGCAGGCGGUUUGUUAAGUCAGAUGUGAAAUCCCCGAGCUUAACUUGGGAACUGCAUUUGAAACUGGCAAGCUAGAGUCUUGUAGAGGGGGGUAGAAUUCCAGGUGUAGCGGUGAAAUGCGUAGAGAUCUGGAGGAAUACCGGUGGCGAAGGCGGCCCCCUGGACAAAGACUGACGCUCAGGUGCGAAAGCGUGGGGAGCAAACAGGAUUAGAUACCCGGGUAGUCCCUGUCUCUUAUCC
rnacentral:rRNA from 1 species